ACUGACUCCUAAAGGGUUAGGGACUGACUCCUAAAGGGUUAGGGACUGACUCCUAAAGGGUUAGGGACUGACUCCUAAAGGGUUAGGUUUAGGGACUGACUCCUAAAGGGUUAGGGACUGACUCCUAAAGGGGUUAGGUUUAGGGAUUGACUCCUAAAGGGUUAGGGACUGACUCCUAAAUGGGUUAGGUUUAGGGACUGACUCCUAAAGGGUUAGGGACUGACUCCUAAAUGGGUUAGGUUUAGGGACUGACUCCUAAAGGGUUAGGGUUAGGGACUGACUCCUAAAGGGUUAGGGACUGUUUCUUAAAGGGUUAGGUUUAGGGACUGACUCUUAAAGGGUUAGGGUUAGGGACUGACUCUUAAAUGGGUUAGGGUUAGGGACUGACUCCUAAAGGGUUAGGGACUGUUUCUUAAAGGGUUAGGUUUAGGGACUGAUUCCUAAAAGAGAAUUGUAGGCUACCAACGGAAAUUGUAUAUUUUCAUUUUCAUAAUUGUUGAUCAUUUUCUUAUGUAUUAUUUUUUAUUUUUUUUUACAAAUUAUAUUUCAAUAAAUAAUAUUGUCUGUUCA